rnacentral:rRNA from 1 species
CCUGCCCAAGAGAUCGGGAUAACACCUGGAAACAGAUGCUAAUACCGGAUAACAAUAGAUGAUGCCUAUCAACUGUUUAAAAGAUGGUUCUGCUAUCACUCUUGGAUGGACCUGCGGUGCAUUAGCUAGUUGGUAGGGUAACGGCCUACCAAGGCGAUGAUGCAUAGCCGAGUUGAGAGACUGAUCGGCCACAUUGGGACUGAGACACGGCCCAAACUCCUACGGGAGGCAGCAGCA